CCUGGCCGCCGCCAUCUUGGCACCCCCGCUCCGGAACCGGAAGUCGGUUUGCGCAGUUGUCCUAGCUCUCUCGCCGUAGGGACCUAUGGCAACCUGUUAUCUAAGCCGGGCUUGGUGGAAGUUCUUUUGACAAGGAGAAGAGAUAAAAGGCAAAACACAGAGGACUUGUUUCCACUAACAGGACUUUGGCAUCGAGGGCACGUUAUGUGCCUACCUCCAGCUGAAACAAAUUCUGCAAGGAUACUGGUAACACGUCCACUGCCAAUUCCGAGUUCUACGUGAAGACUUUCGUGACCUUCCUGCGCCUUCACAGACAUGUUUGGGGAAAGUUGAGAUGAGCUGGAUCUUGGGAUGCAAACCAUGUGACAUUUCACACCCGAAACCUUUAAUUUCUAUGUGGACCUGCUCACAAUUGCUCCUUUCUUCUGACUUCCUGGCUUCCUGGCACCUCAUCCGGAUUCCCACAUCUGCUCCCUACCCCUUUGGUUUAGUGAGUAUUCCCUUCCAAGCUUCUUGGACCGGGUCUUCCACACAUUUCUGGAAUCUGUUCAUUACUUUGGUUUUGGUGACAUCUAUCCCAAUACCACAA